rnacentral:rRNA from 1 species
AUGAACGCUGGCGGCGUGCCUAAUACCUGCAAGUCGAGCGAACAGACGAGGAGCUUGCUCCUCUGACGUUAGCGGCGGACGGAUGAGUAACCCGUGGAUAACCUACCUAUAAGACUGGGAUAACUUCGGGAAACCGGAGCUAAUACCGGAUAAUAUAUUGAACCGCAUGGUUCAAUAGUGAAAGACGGUUUUGCUGUCACUUAUAGAUGGAUCCGCGCCGCAUUAGCUAGUUGGUAAGGUAACGGCUUACCAAGGCAACGAUGCGUAGCCGACCUGAGAGGGUGAUCGGCCACACUGGAACUGAGACACGGUCCAGACUCCUACGGGAGGCAGCAGUAGGGAAUCUUCCGCAAUGGGCGAAAGCCUGACGGAGCAACGCCGCGUGAGUGAUGAAGGUCUUCGGAUCGUAAAACUCUGUUAUUAGGGAAGAACAAAUGUGUAAGUAACUAUGCACGUCUUGACGGUACCUAAUCAGAAAGCCACGGCUAACUACGUG